CUGAGUUUUGAAGUGGGCUUGAUGCUGGCAUCUCUUCGGGGGUGUAUGUGCUCAGCCCCGCUCUCAAAUCCACUCAACACCUGUGCACUUUCAAAGUUGUAGUCCUCCGUAAUGGGAGUCGCAAGUCAUUCUUGGCUUGUCGGGACUGCACUUUGCCAUUUAUCACAAACAAAUUAUAUUGUUUUGUAGAAUGUCUAGCCUCUUAGUAGGUGAAACUUAAUA
rnacentral:misc_RNA from 1 species